CCCCUACCUUAGCAUACUUGUCCCCCACUCUCUAGCACCUUCCCUUCAUUAGCCCCCCACCCCUGCCCACCGCUCAGGUCUCUCACCAUCAUCGCCGCCAAGCGUCCCUCAUCCCCUUUCCCCAUCGGUCUAUAUCCCUCGUCCCCUCCCACGGCUUCCUGGCCUACUGCGCGCCGAUACAUACGCAUACAAUAGCACACCCCCGUGCCUUCAUUCGCACACGCCACCAGUGCCCACGCGCAGUACACUGUACGCACCGGAGAAGCAAUGGGCCUCCUCGGCAAGGAACGCGCCGGCUCCUUCAAGGCCACAGACACCUCUGGACGCCAUUUUCUCUGGACAAUCGAUAAGUUCUCGCAGUACACGCUUGGCGUGACUCUCGACAGCGACAACGUCACUUGCUUCACCAAAGUAAAAUUUCACCUGCACAUGACACUGCGCACCUGCGGUGCCGUCGGCAUCUACAUCCAUUACAAGAAGCCGCCGAUCCCGAAGUACUCGUACUACCUAACGAACUCGAAGUGUGAGGGGACGCGCCAGCACACGGCCCACAGUCUCCCCGAUGGUACGGAGCGCUGCGGUCACUGGAACGUGUGCAGCCACGGGGACCUGAAGGAGUUCCUCGGGGAGGAUGACACGCUGCUCGUGCAUUUCUGUUUUGACGACGACACCCUCGUUGUGAAUCAGCUCGGGCAGAGUAAUAUCUCGGUCACGUGGUCGAUUCCGAAGCUGGAGACGCAGAACCUGUGUCCCUACUCCUCACGCAGUUUCUUUGUGGGCGACACAGUGCUGAUUGCCCAGAUCGACGCCAAGCAGAAAGAUGGCCAUACGGGACGUAAGUACAGCUACGAAGACGUGGUCACGUACAUCAUAUUUGUCUUCUGCCGAAAGGGCAAUAUGCCGCCACACAGCAUCGAGCUUGUGGACUCCGCCGGCAACGCCUACUUUCAGUUAAGCAAGAAAGAGGACGAGUCGGGGCUGACGGCGCUGGUGGACCGCAGUGUGGUUGAGAAGAACAUCGAGAACACCGGCGCCCUCCUCGUUAGAAUCAACUUCUCCACUAGCGGAAACCCGUUGGAUUUGCUGAACACCAUUAGCGAUGACGUCAGCGCAGAGGGUGAGCGGAAGGGCAGCACCAGCAAUGGUUGCACCGUUCAUCUCGACGAUAAAAAAGAAGUGUGUACCGUCAUGGACGACUAGAGAGCGAGGUGAACGGAUGACGGGGCAGGGGAACUCUUGCGUGUCGGUGCGUGCGUUCAGUCAACGCGACAGCCUUGUGUUCUUCUUCCCCGUCUGCCUGUGAGUGCACUGGGGUGCACAUGUGUGUGCAGGUGUCGAUUUACGUGCACUCAUACGUGCACAGAUCGAGACUUGUAUGGAUAUAGUCGAUGGCGGAGGAGAAGGGGAAGAGCUUGGCGAGUGCCCAGCAGCCAAAACUGCGCGCGGACAAGCGAAGAGAGAGAGACCGCAGCAGCAGUAGAGGAAUGAGAAGGGGGCUCUCGGAUCGCAGCAACGAGCAGCGGAAAGGAGGAAAGAAGGGAAGAAGAAGGGCAUCGGUACUGGAGCCCACCUACCAUGUCCCUCUAUCUGUUGUGGCACCCAGACGCACGCGCGAAGCGACACUGAUCUCCCGAUGUCUCGCCCUUUCGGUGCUCCCACUCCGUCCUGUUGCCUCUGUGCUCUCUCACUUUUCACUUCCUUUGGACUUCUCAUGCCGUGUUUGCUUGGCCUCUCCUGCUGCUGCUGCUCUACUCCUGUCGUUGUUACUGCGUGGCUUCGCCGUAUUGGUGUCUAUUGCCCUUUCUUGUCUGCCCUAUCGUUCUCUCCCGGCGUGGUCACCCACCCCACCCCCUCCUCCUCCUUCGGUCUGUCGCUUGCUUGCUUGCUCGCGUCUUCUUGCUGUCUUUGCUCUCCCUAAACGCGCCCCUCCCCUCCCACCACCACCACCGCGGUGCCGCACAGUCGCACACACGCACACACACGCACACGCCAGGCACCACCGCUACUCCUCCUCCUACGCGCCUCCUCUUUUUCUUUUCGCUUUUUAUUUUGCCUGCAGAAGCACUUCCACAGCAACGCAGUCUGCGUUUCUCCCCUAAAAUCCCUCUUACAGGCAGUCUGCCGCCACACUGCGUGCCGCCCGUGUGAGUUAUGUUACCCCUUCCCCCCCCUCCUGGCCUCCCCCCAACUCUGGCGAGGGCCUGCGUGCCCGCAUUCACGCUGAGCUGCAGCACGUCUAGAGUGCGCGAAGGCAUGCCUCUUGUGCUCUUCUUAUUUUCUUCAUUGGGCGCCAUGCUCUCUCUUCUAUCUUCUCUUCCUUUUUUGUUGUUACUCUAGGGAGCCGAUAAGCCUUGCAGGUGACCAUGGCACACGCGGAGGGGGGUUCUCCACCACCGUCUCGCCUCGAUCUUUUCUUGCCUGCUCCCUUUCGAUUCUGCAGCGUUGCAGCCCUAGCUAUCAGCUCGCUCCACCUUCAAUAAUUGCUUCCGUUCCCUUCCCUCCCCUCCCCACCCACUGCCCUGCUGCUUCACAGCCCAUGGCGCUUUAUUAGUUACUGCGCCCUCUCGGUGUUGUGUGAUGCCUUUGAUUGGUGUACCGCCACCGUCUCGCCUCGACCUUUUCUUCCCUCCCCUCCCCUUCUCUCUUGUACUCCUCCCCCCACACCAUUUCUUCACGUCCCCAUGCAAGCUGCGUUCGUUCUUUGCUGUUUUCUGUCUUUCUUUUCGUGUGCUUGUCCUCCCUGAUGAGCGGUGGAUACGCCAGCCCCAGUGCGUGGCAUCUCGGGACCCGGUGCCCCCACUCUCUCCCCCUGCGGGGAGGCGGAGCGGCACCCCACCCCCUCUAGUCCUGCCCAAUGCGGAGCCGCUUCCGGUCGUGACAGGGUCAAGCGCCGACGCCGUAGGGGAGGUCAGAGCGAUGCAUCGCCACUGACGCCGGCGGCCAGGCCCUGGACGGCGCUGCGUCGGUGCGACCCGCGGCCGUGAACACGCUUGCGCCAUCCAUGUGAUGGGCAGCGUGUCGGCGUGACUCGAGCGUACCCCACACCCGGCCCCCACACUGCCCUGCUGGUGGUGGGGAGCCGGAGCCACCCCGAGGAGGAUGCAGCACGUGGCGACCGGCACGAUGGUAGCUGCUGUGAGGCCACCCGCGGGGCGGGUGGUGGGUGGGGCUUGAGGCAGGGGCUGUGCUCAGAUGACUGUGUCUGCGCACAGCCGUAGCGACGUGCCUGCCGCUGCUUCAGUUCACGCGCCUGAGGUCUGUGCCAGGGCCCGGGCCAGAGGGAGGGUAGAGUGCUGUGUAGCGCGUGCUCUACGGUCAGAGAAUGGUCACGUUGAACAAAACCUAACAAGAUAUGUAAAGCAGCGCUGCCCCACACCUGUGAGAGGUGGGGACUGCGUGAUCGUGCAUGUGUUGAUGUACACCUUUGCGUGGCGGUGGAAUGCGCUUGCGGGCAGCCAUCCAUGUUCCCCACACCACCAUCCGAUGGCCUCUCUCGCGUCACCUCUGCAUCUACGUUGUUCCCUUCCGCCAUCCACCGCUUCCUACGCGUCUCCAUGCAAUAUGGCGAACGCACACACGCACAAG
rnacentral:misc_RNA from 1 species